UCAAAAAAAAUUUUCCCAUACUUCGAUAGUUUCUAGCCAUGGUUUAAGUUUUUAAAAUUAAAAAAAAAUUCCCAUACUUCGUUAGCUUUUAGCCAUGGUUCAAGUUGUCAAAAUUUUCAAAAAAAAUUUUCCCAUACUUCGAUAGUUUCUAGCCAUGGUUUAAGUUUUUAAAAUAAAAAAAAAUUCCCAUACUUCGUUAGCUUUUAGCCAUGGUUCAAGUUGUCAAAAUUUUCAAAAAAAAUUUUCCCAUACUUCGAUAGUUUCUAGCCAUGGUUUAAGUUUUUAAAAUUAAAAAAAAAUUCCCAUACUUCGUUAGCUUUUAGCCAUGGUUCAAGUUGUCAAAAUUUUCAAAAAAAAUUUUCCCAUACUUCGAUAGUUUCUAGCCAUGGUUUAAGAUUUUAAAAUUAAAAAAAAUUCCCAUACUUCGUUAGCUUUUAGCCAUGGUUCAAGUUCUCAAAAUUUUCAAAAAAAAAUUUUCCCAUACUUCGAUAUUUUCUAGCCAUGGUUUAAGUUUUUAAAAUAAAAAAAAAAUUUCCAUUCUUCGUUAGCUUUUAGCCAUGGUUGAAGUUGUCAAAAUUUUCAAAAAAAAUUUUCCUAUACUUCAAUAGUUUCUAGCCAUGGUUUAAGUUUUUAAAAUUAAAAAAAAAUUCCCAUACUUCGUUAGCUUUUAGCCAUGGUUCAAGUUGUCAAAAUUUUCAAAAAAAAUUUUCCCAUACUUCGAUAGUUUCUAGCCAUGGUUUAAGUUUUUAAAAUUAAAAAAAAAUUCCCAUACUUCGUUAGCUUUUAGCCAUGGUUCAAGUUGUCAAAAUUUUCAAAAAAAAUUUUCCCAUACUUCGAUAGUUUCUAGCCAUGGUUUAAGUUUUUAAAAUUAAAAAAAAAUUCCCAUACUUCGUUAGCUUUUAGCCAUGGUUCAAGUUGUCAAAAU